CUGAUGUUAUCUAGCUGGACUUCUGCAAGGCCUUUGACAAGGAAAAAAGGUAUCAAUACAUUUGAAAUAUCAAAAUAUAUGAAGUAUCUAAGGGAAUUCUCUGUGAGGAGGCUGAGUGUGCACAAGAAGUUGGGAGGAGACACAACUAGAACAACUGACCCAAACUGACGGAAGAGAUAUCCCCUACUCUACAAUGGCAUGAUCAGCAAUAAAAACUGAAGGAAAAAAGGAGAAAGUGGGAGAUAUCUGGAGUGAUGGCAUUUGUCUUCCCAAGUAACUGUUAUGCGUGAUGGAGACCUUCUUUCCUAGUAAUGGCUGAUCAUCUGCCUGUGGAUGGGAAAUAGUGAAUGAAUUUCUUAUUUUGCUUUGCUUGUGUGUGCAGCUUUUGCUUUACCUAUUAAACUAUAUU